UGCACUGUCGAUUGUGCUAUUCACUAACUUAUGUUAACUAACACUGAACAGCUGUUUUCUUCUAUUUAUUCAAACUGAUAGAGAGUGGCAUCUUUGUCAAAUUAAAUGUCAGAAUGAGCGAAUAACAUGAAGAAGAGAAACAAAAAAACAUAGACGCCAAACUGUUAAAUGCAAUUGUGAGUGUUUUUUAACAAUAAUAUAUGUACAAAGAUGACAUCGACAGCUACCAAAAGAAGCCGUGCCACAUCCGAGCAGCUAAAUCGCCUGCUUGACUACCUAAUGGAAGUCCCGGGUCUAGCAGGAUCUAGGUUCCACAGCCUCCAUGGUAAGUACGAGUGCGACAAAAAGUGGAGCGAGCUAGCAGCAAAAUUAAAUAGUCUGGGUGGAGCAGUGAAGACGGUGAAUCAAUGGCAAACGGUAUGGCGGGACUUAAAAAGCCGCACCAGCAUUAAAGCACGGAAUCGGCGAAGGCAACAAGCUUUAACUGGGAACAGGCCAAUCAGCGAGGAGCCCCUAACGGAAUUCGAGAGGCGGGUGUCUGCUC